rnacentral:rRNA from 1 species
UACGGAGGGAGCUAGCGUUGUUCGGAAAUACUGGGCGUAAAGCGCACGUAGGCGGCGCAGCAAGUCAGGGGUGAAAUCCCGGGGCUCAACCCCGGAACUGCCUUUGAAACGGGGACGCUUGAGUCCGAGAGAGGAUGGCGGAAUUCCUAGUGUAGAGGUGAAAUGCGUAGAUAUCAGGAGGAACACCUGCGGUGUAGACGGCUUACUGGACCAUAACUGACGCUGAGGCACGAAAGCGUGGGUAGCAAACAGG